UCAAGAGAAACUUUAAAAAGAAACUCUAUGGUGUUUACUAAUAAUAUUCCAGUUUGAUCCAUCAGUGUAGGUAAAGGAAGCCUUUUCCUUUUUUGUAAAAUUUCACAUCUAGCCUCAGAAAUGAAAGAGGAGAUAUAGGGAAAAUUAACUCAGCCACCAGCCAGUCUGCUCUUGUUUGCCAGUGCAGAGCUUGUGAAAUGAAGCAGAGCACCUCAAACCCAGUGCUGUCUGUGGAGCUUUAGAUGUCUGAAGAGGGAAAGAAAGAAUGAGAUGAAGGAGAAGAAAAUGAACAGAGAGAGUGGGAGGCCGCCCUGCUUUGGAGCCAGCCUAUUAUGGACCAGAACCUCUACAAGUGGCAGGUGUCUCCUGGACUUGGGAGUUGCUGCCACCGGGCAGGGCAGGGAUUACUCUGCACUGACAGCUCCAUCUCAGACCAAUCUGUCGCAAACCAUUGCCCACUGCUUCUGGACUCUGUGGCUUCAGAAUGCAGCCCCUGGCUGUGCCCAGCCUUGAAUGUGUGCGGCCAGCUCUCCCUCUGGAGAAUGGGAGCCACCUGCUUGCACCAGAGGCAGAGAAUUCAGCCGGUGGGACAUAAUGUAACGCUGGGGCCACUGCCGUGACCUCUCUGUUAGUGGCUGCAUCUACUCCCGUUUUCAGGGAACACUUUGUAGGUCCAGAUCUACCGGGCCAGUGACUCUGUUGGGCCACAUUUGUACACUGUCCUUACCUGCCAUGGUACCAUAACAGAGAUCUCCUCUCCGACGAGUUCUGGAAUCCACAGGAGAAAUUUACAGCUGAGUCCUUAGUUGCAAAGAAUCUAAAAUCUGAUGAAUCUACAAGCUGUUGUUCAUCUUAUCUUGAAAAGCCCAGUUUGUUUUACCAACUCACAGGAAGGCAAAUAAUGGAGUGGCUAACAGCACAAACUGUGAAGAAAACUCUCUGGCCUCCAAUUCCAGUUUCCUCAUUUUUUAACAGAAUGACCUGGGGUCUGAGACCAGUUGUUUGAAGGGUGGUGAAGUGCUCCCAAGGAGGACCCUGCAAAUCUGCAGCAAGCAGAUGUAGUGACCAUUCCCUCAGCGCCAUUCAGCAGAGGAGCUGUGUCCUGCAGAAACCAGAUCUUUACAUGACCUCCCAUCAACAAAGAGAAGAGGAAGCCGCAGCCUCAUGGACAGAUGAGCAUGAAAGAAGAGGGUGUGAACCCAAAGCAGAUUGCUGCCAUGCUGCAGCCCUACUCAGGGGUGCCCCCCAAUCAACAAUGAGGGCAAGUCUGCCCAUAAUGGAGAGGCAGUGGUGUGCUUGCCUGUUUACAUUGGCUGGAGGGGAGCUAAGAGGUGCAGUAGCCCUGACCCCUACCAAGGGGGCACAUUCCAAGGUUCUCAAUGGAAGCCUGCAACUGAAGGUUAUACUGAGCUCUAUAUACACUACUCUUGCUUAUACAAAAUACACAAAUGUAAUGCCUUCUUCAUCUUAACUAAGCAUUUACAAUGUCAUUAUAAUUUUUGCAAUUGUGACAGCAAAACUAGCACAAAUUUCUCUUUUCUUCUUCAGACUUUUAUGGGUAGAAGAUUCAUUUUUAAUGUAGAUAUUAAAUCAAGAAUGUUGAUCUUUCCACUUAGAGGAACAUUUUACAACUUCUCUUUGGCAUAUGUGAAUUGCCAUGAUCACCACUCUUGUGCUUUGGGGUAAAAUAGAAAGUAUUUGAACACAACCACUGCAGUAUCACAAAUGUUAAUCUGAUAACUGAGAUUAUUAAAUGACUAAUGGGUGAGGAGCAUAUACAACAUGGAUACGCUUAGCAAAAGGAUGAUUCAUUACUGGUUGAGAAUGGAGCAGGACAGUACGUACAAUAUUUCAUCAUGCUACGCAGAACGGUAUAAAUUUAAAAUGCAUGACUUGUUUAUUUUUAGAAUUUUUUGUUUAAUACUUUUGGACCACAGUAGACCCCCAAGUCAUAGUAAGUGAAACCAUACGGGGACCACUGUCUACUCAGACUCAGGAUUGGCAAGUCAGAGGCUCAGAAAGAGAAUGAUUGGAUGAUCAUAUGCUGCAAAACCUGGGGAACAGGCUCAUGGAGAGACUUCUGGAAGCUAAAUGUGAACAAUGUGAGGAUGCAUCUCUCUCUCUCUAAUACUUCGGGAGGAUACCCACACUGGAGAAGGACCUCAAGAAUGGAAAGAAGAGGGUUUUCUGUGGAUGCCCUCUCCUGGUUGCUCCAGUGCCCUUACUACCCUGAGUAGAGUGUAUGUCUGUUGUCUGUCCAGAAAAUAGAGAUUUUUGUCUGUUUUCUCUUCUGCUGUUAUAAUUAUUACCUAGGAGACCCAGGUGCACAGUAAAAGUUCAAUAAACAUUUGGCCAAAAACCCUCAAUGUGCAUGUACUGUUUACAUAUCUGAUUUUUUUCUUAGCAUAGAUUCCGAGAAACAUAUCAGAUGAUUAAUGAUUUUAAAGCAUAAAAUGUAUUUAUAAUAUACUAUGUGGUGGACUAUUCUAGAUCAUGAGGAUAACAGCAGAGAACAGAACACACAAAAAUCCCUCACUUUAAUCCUGUACUCUAGACAGACAAGGAAAUAUUGGUGCACGUAUACUCAGGUAUUACAUUUUAAAAGAACAUCUUCCAUUUGGCAUACCUGCUCUGUACCUACUUGCACUUCUGAAAGAGUUUCUAACUCAUCUUUCUCUCUUUCUUACAGCACCAACUUGUAAACAUUUUCCAGUUGGAUAGGUGGAAAAAUGCCCUCAAAGUUUGUUAUUAUUUAUGAAAUUGAACAUUUAUUACCUAUUUGAUCCUCUUCUCUGUUAGUAUUCCUUAUUCAUUUUCCAAUUAGAGACUCAUCCAUUUUAGUGAUCUCUUUAGGUAAAAAUAUUAAACACUAGUGUGAAGAAUUUAUUACAUAUGUUUUGUUCAGUUUUAUUGCUGCCCUUUAAAUUUUGUAGGCAUUCCUGUUCUGUGCUGUUUAUUUAUAUUUUAAGGUAGGAUAUCCUUCAAUGUCCUAAUUUGUGGCUGCUUCUGUUGCU